rnacentral:pre_miRNA from 1 species
AAUAGAUGACGCCGUUGACUUUUUCUCACAUGUUUGACCGUUCGUUUUAUUAAAAAAAAUUAUGUAAUUAUAAUUUAUUUUAUUAUGAGUUGUUUUAUAAUUUAUAGUAUUUUAAGUGUGAUUUAUAUCUUAUACAUUUGCAUAAAAUUUUUGAAUAAGAUGAAUGGUCAAAUAUGUGAGAAAAAAUUAACGGCGUCAUCUAUU